UUCGAUUUUUGUUUGUAAAAAACCCCUGAAAUUUGGAACCGCUCUCCACGCGCUCUCUGAUAAUGUUGGAAAUGAAGAGCCUGUCAACACAAACUUUGACCCUUCACCCUCUUGUUUCAGAGCUCACAAGCCCUGAACUUUUCCUUUCUCUUUCUUCAUCAAAAUUGCUUUGCCCCCAAGUCGUUAAAUCCAGCUUCAUAGCUCAAAGGCUUCAGAGGAUCCACAAUCCUAUGUUGCGGUCCCUUUGGUGUCACUCGCGAGAUAUACAUCAAGAACAUUCAGACAUGGGAGAUGGCACCCCAAAAUAUUCAGUGGACGAGGCACUUUUAUCACUUGGGUUUGGGAAAUUCCAAGGCCUCAUGCUUGCUUAUGCUGGAAUGGCCUGGAUAGCAGAGGCCAUGGAAGUGAUGCUUCUCUCUUUUGUAGGACCAGCAGUACAGUUAGAGUGGAACCUUUCUUCUCGUGAAGAAAGCAUGAUCACGAGUGUGGUUUUCGUUGGCAUGCUAUUUGGGGCCUACACUUGGGGCAUUGUAUCUGAUAACUAUGGACGAAGGGCGGGAUUUUUUGCUACGGCUCUAGUUACAGGUGUGGCUGGUCUUCUAAGUUCAUUUUCCCCGAAUUACGUCUCAUUGAUUAUUAUUCGCUGUGUGGUUGGAGUUGGAUUGGGAGGUGGUCCGGUGCUUUCAUCAUGGUUUUUGGAGUUUGUUCCUGCUCCAAACAGGGGCACCUGGAUGGUUGUCUUUUCAGGUUUCUGGACCCUUGGCACAAUAUUGGAAGCGUCUCUUGCAUGGGCUGUCAUGCCGACAUUGGGCUGGAGGUGGCUUCUUGCAUUGUCUUCAAUACCUUCACUUGUUCUCCUUUUAUUUUACACAGUUGUACCAGAAUCCCCAAGAUUUCUUUGUCUCAAGGGAAGAACAAAUGACUCACUUCAGAUCUUAGAGAAAAUUUCUCGAAUGAAUGAAAAGCCCCUGCCACAUGGCACACUUAAGUCUGAUGAUCUUGAAGAUAAAUGCUUGCCAAUGGAAGACUCACACUUUCUCCCUGCUGCGAGACCAGAGUCCAGAGUCACAAAGCGAAUAGUGGCUAAAAUGGGGGCCUUUGCUUCCUUUUUUAUGCUUUUCUCACCAAAAUUAAUCAGAUCGACACUCCUGCUUUGGGUGGUCUUCUUUGGAAAUGCAUUUUCCUAUUAUGGCCUCGUUUUGCUAACAUCUGAGUUAAGCAAUCAGAACAGGGCAUGCACAUCUACAAAAUUGCAAUCAAAGGUCACUGCAGAUGUUAAUCUUUACAGGAAUGUUCUUAUUACAAGUUGUGCAGAGAUUCCAGGGCUUUUGUUAUCGGCAGUGAUGGUGGACAGGGUUGGCCGCAAGAUUUCCAUGUCUGCCUUGUUUUUCUUGUGUUGCAUUUUUCUUGUACCUUUAGUAGUUUCACAGCCUGAUAUAUUGACCACAAUUCUUCUCUUUGGGGCUCGCAUAUGCAUUACUGGAACUUUUACAAUUGUGUACAUCUAUGCUCCAGAGGUAUACCCAACCUCAGCAAGGACUACAGGUUUUGGAACCGCGAGUUCUGUGGGAAGAAUUGGAGGGAUUGUGUGUCCACUGAUUGCAGUUGGUUUGGUGCAUAGUUGCCAUCAAACAUUAGCAGUCAUCUUGUUCGAAAUUGUGAUAUUUUUCUCAGGUCUUGCUGUAAUAUUCUUCCCUCUAGAAACUAAAGGUCGUGCUCUGAGAGAUACUAUGUCAUCAUCAUCAUCAUAGUUUUUUUUCAAUUAAUUGGGGUCAACUACAUGGAUACCGGUCCGCCAUUCUAAUCUAUUAAGUGCCAAGCCCUCAGUGAAGCUAUGCUGUUUCAAAACAGGCGUUCAGAUCAAAAAAAUUGGGCAUGGAGCAGGAUGAAUCGUAGGAUGUUGUUGAAAGUUGAAACCAUCCACAUAUGUAAGAGAUUCUUGCAGUAACUUUGUUAACACGAGGUUGGAAAAAAGGCAAAAGACACGGUUUCCCAAUGGCAAUUCCAAUCUCCACUCCUAAUAUUUUGUUAUUAUGUUUCUCGAUUUGGCCUAUUAAGAUCAGUUCAUUGGAGGGAUACAAAACCCGAUUCCUGGUUUCAAAACAUUGAAUGGGCAUAUAAGUUGUUACAAUUCAAAUUUUGGGGCUAUAUCAUAAACUAAUUCUAAAUUCUCAAAAGACUCA